GUAAUUUUGCAGCGCAUCGGUUCGAUGUUACUAUCUUUUGUAGUACAUUGAUUAAAAGGGAAUCGGGUGAAAAUCCCGAACAGACCCGCUACUGUGAAUCCUAUGCAACAUUUUGACAUAACCUACAAUAGUCACUGCAUUUUAUGAUGUGGGAAGGCUGCUCAAAAUGAGGAUAAGUCAGGAGACCUGCCCGUGCCUUGAUAUUUUU
rnacentral:ncRNA from 2 species